AUGGGAAACGAAAAAGCAAAUAGCCAUUGGGAAGCAGAGCUGCCUCCUAAAUAUGAUAGGGUUGGGAUAGAGAAUUUCAUCCGUGCAAAAUAUGAGGACAAGAGAUGGGUACCAAGGAAUGGAACAUUGCGACUUUCCUCCGGUGUUCGAGAUGAGAAGAGCCAAGAGUCUCCAGCUAGUGCUAAUUGGAGUGGACAUCAUAGAUCUUCAUUUGAGCAAAACCAUGCUUCACCAGCUCUUCCGAGCAAAGUUGCACCUGUAGCUUCAAGGAUACCCUCUCAGGCAUCACCUCAGCCCCCAAAGGUAGAACCACCAGUUCCUAAGGUGGUUUCACCUCCUCAGCCACAAAAAUCUCCUGCCAAAGUUGAGGCAACACCCCCUAAAGUUGAGAAGCCAUCAGUUGCGCCGCCUCCUAAAGUUGAUUAUGCUACUGAUCUCUUUAACAUGUUAUCAAUGGAUGGAAC